GGCCACUUCAAAAAUUUAUGUGUUGUCCAUGUAUGUAAACGACAAGAUUCUUUUGCUAUGAAGAUAGAAAAACAGAUAUAUCAUACUAAGAUGCACGAUAUCAUAAUAAAGUGGUUAAUGAAACAAUGAUACAUUGCUCAUUUUUUACUAGUGUUGUUCUUAAAGGCUCGUUUAAGCACGCUUAAGCCCUGGAACUUGAUGAAAACCAGCUUCAUCUGGCUUAAUUGGCCCUUUAGUGUAGGUGUCAAAGUGCUAAGGUGUCUGCACUCCAAAAACAGGUUUAGUUUUUUUAGGUUAGAAUGAACUUUUUAAAGUUAACUUGUUUCUAAAAAUAAAUUAAGUAACCCUCCUUAUUUUAAACAUCAACAUCAGGAUCUGAGAUCAUGUGGUCCCCUUAUAUGAUCAUGAAUCCUACUAGAAUUUGUUCAUUUGAUAUGUCAUUUGAGUGUCUUGUAUUUAGGCAUAUUACAGUCCUUAUUUGUAUGAGUCCAACUUGUAUAUCUUCAGUGAAUUACAUGAUAAAGAAGGGGUUUAAUUUUCAUAGUACUAUUUCAUGAAUCAUAUCUAUCGAGACGUCACGCUACAUUUGUCUAUACAUGUUUUAGGUUAGUAUAUGGAUUUUAAAUAGUCCUUCCUAUUUACAAUGAGGACUCUCGCAAAUCCCUAUAUGAAAUUCAAAGAUUAACUGAUCUAUCAGGUGCACCUAUCAUUCGAGGACGAAUGAUCAUAAGAGGGGGAGGAUGAACACCCCGUAUUUUACGUGUACUGGUUUUAUUUAUAUAACGCAUUAAACUGCCUUGUGGUAUGGUUAUGGAUUCGAUUUCCUAUGCGACUAGUGGCAAUAGAAUAGGUUUAAGUGAACUUUCCAUAGAUUUUAAUGCGACCCAAUUAAGUUGAUAUCGAUGGAAGUAUUUAAACUUUAGAUCAUAAGGUGGUAUUUGAGUCUAAAGUAUAAAGUGACAUAGUGUAUAUAAGUUCUAAGUUAUAUUAAAGUUAUUAAGGUCUCGAAAUGGAAUAAAACAUUGAGGUGCUUGCUUGACUUCACUUCUAGUAGGUGAUAGUAGGUGCGUCACCUACUUUGACUUAUUGACCAACCAAAGGACCAAGUAGGUGCAUCACCUACUUGACUUAUUGACCAACCAAAGGACCAAGUAGGUGCAUCACCUACUAAGACUCUUUUGACCAUGUUAUUGGGCCAAGUACACUACCUAUUUGCAUUAAUUUAGCCCAAGUUGAACAGAAGAAUAAGGGGAAAUGGACAGCCAAGGCCCAAUCUUCCCAAGCCCACAAGAAAUAAUUUUAAUGGAAAACUAGGUGAAUCACCUACUUAAAUGUGUGGCCCAAAUUAUAGACAGUUGUUGGCUGCAAAUGAAGUACAAGAAAGGUGGCAAAAGGGCCAAUGUUCUUAAGACCAAACAGUCCAAAUGAAAAGUCCAAGUAGGUGGGUCACCUACUUGACAAAUUAUGGCCCUAAAUGAGUGAGAAAGUCGGCCAAAGCAGGGUGCCUUUAAAAGAGAUUGAUAUCAGCUUUUUCCAACCAUUUUUACUUUGACAAAAAAUCUGAUUACUAGAGCUUUAUCUCUUCUCUCUCUUAGAUUCAUACAACAACCAUUAAAUACCAUUAGGUUCUUGAAUAAUAGGUAUUUUCAAGCUAUUGAAAGGUGUAAUUUAAGACUAGUUAAGGAGGACAACUUUUACAUUGAAGAAUCCAAGUUUUAGCAAGCCGUAGUUAUGUCCAGCAAGAUCAGUGAUCUGAAGAGAAGGAGCUUAAGUCAAUACUUUUUGAAUUGUAUAGCAAGGUAUGUAAGGCUAUUUGAUUUCUUAUUUCUUUGGCAUGAAUCCAAAACUUGCAUUACAAAAAGUAAGCUUUCUAAGUGCCCUUGGUAGUGACUGAUCCAUAGUUGCAGUUCCUACUCUAAUAUGAGUUUGUUACUAAAUGUGCGUGUUUACUCUAUCAAGUGUUAGCAUGCAAGGUUUAAACUUGUUUCAUUGUCAAAUUACCCAUGGCAUGUAUCCCCGUUACAUAAGUCAAAGUGAUCGUAGACUACACAUGGUACAAUCUGCCUAUAUCAUGCCAACUUGCUUCCAUUGUUUAUAGAUAUGUCAUCUUGUCACAUGUUCAUAUGUUCCCUUCUUUGUUAUUACUCACAUUGUGUUAGACUAUAAUGUUACCUCACAGGAUCACUACUAGCUCAAUUGUACGUUUAUAUGUACUUACUUGGAAUAUGUCUCCGUCCUUAAGUUGAAUCUGCCCACAUUCCCCCUUGGUUCCACAUUCAUGAACACCUUGUAUUUGUAUCAUAUGAAGUUCAAAUCUCUUGGUUGAAUGUCAAAUUGUCUUCACUAGAUGUGCUUUGAUUUGAGAUAUCAAAAUGCUUACCGAGUCAUAUAGGCUCCUAAGUACUACGUUCAAGUCACAUUUGCUUCCCAUGUCAUUAUUAAUAUCGUAAGUUCAUAUUCAUAUGUCUUCUACUACUGGUCUGUAGAUCCAAAUCUAAACCAGGAUUAUGACCACCAAAACAACAAUCACAAACAAGUUAUGAACAUCAAAAUAACAAUAUCAAAAGAGUUACGAUUAUCUAAAGAACAAUCCCAAAAGAGUUAUGAACUGAUAAACAACAAUCUCAAAGAUGAAAGAAUCUAAGUGAAGUAAUCAAUAUGAUUAUGAGUGACAGCUCAGGGGCGAAAGCUUAGCAUGGGCCGAUCCCGAUUGGUAUAACAGGGUGGCAACCCAGGGGCAAAAACCUAGCAUGGGCCGAUCCCAAUUGGUAUGGAAGGGUGACAGCUCAGGGGGCGCAAGCCUAGCAUGGGUCAUCCUCUUCUACCGUGAUCAGCUGGUCAUUUGUAUCAUAUGUUGUAUAAAGAUUAUAAAAAGUACAGAAAUUUAAAGAAAAGAAUGUAACAUGCACGAUUCCACAAGUACAAAGCAAAGGUGGUCUCUAAUCCUUAUCUAUUGGUAUUUGGUUUCACUUGAGCUCAUGUUAAUUAUGCCUUACAUAUUCAGUACAUUCUUUCGAACUGACGUCCCUUAUUGGGGACGUUGCAUUUCAUGUUGCAGGUACAAGUACUCAACUAGUGGAUCUUUCCAAUAGAAGCACAUUAUACUCAGCGGAUGUUGGUGAGCUCCAGGUCGAUUCGGGGCUUUGCCGAGUCUUUACUAUGCGUAUUUUCAUAUGGUACCAUCAUGGAUUCCAGAAGAGGCUUUGUAGACAUUGUAAAGCUACCAUCUGUAUUCAUAGUUUCACUUAUCACAUAUAGCGGUUCAGCUAGUCAAAAUGUGUUGCAUAUGAAGCUUCUCAUCAGUAAUCUGCAUAGUAGUGUACUUUCUCAUCAUAGAUUACUUGUAAAGCAUGUGUUCAUAAGGUAUUAUUCCGCCUCACCUAGGGUUGAGGUGUGAAAAAAGUGUUGGAAAGAGUUUUCAAAAGCGGAAUGCACAAAAGUGCCAAAAUAUAUUUAAGUUUAAAGCACAAGGGCAAUUAAAGCACGAGCUUUAGCGAAGAAAAA